rnacentral:rRNA from 1 species
GAUGAACGCUGGCGGCGUGCCUAAUACAUGCAAGUCGAGCGAAUGGAUUAAGAGCUUGCUCUUAUGAAGUUAGCGGCGGACGGGUGAGUAACACGUGGGUAACCUGCCCAUAAGACUGGGAUAACUCCGGGAAACCGGGGCUAAUACCGGAUAACAUUUUGAACCGCAUGGUUCGAAAUUGAAAGGCGGCUUCGGCUGUCACUUAUGGAUGGACCCGCGUCGCAUUAGCUAGUUGGUGAGGUAACGGCUCACCAAGGCAACGAUGCGUAGCCGACCUGAGGGGGUGAUCGGCCACGCUGGGACUGAGACACGGCCCAGACUCCUACGGGAGGCAGCAGUAGGGAAUCUUCCGCAAUGGACGAAAGUCUGACGGAGCAACGCCGCGUGAGUGAUGAAGGCUUUCGGGUCGUAAAACUCUGUUGUUAGGGAAGAACAAGUGCUAGUUGAAUAAGCUGACACCUUGACGGUACCUAACCAGAAAGCCACGGCUAACUACGUGCCAGCCGCCGCCGUAA